rnacentral:rRNA from 1 species
AUUGAACGCUGGCGGCAUGCUUUACACAUGCAAGUCGAACGGCAGCGCGGGCUUCGCCCUCGCGUCGAGUGGCGAACGGGCGAGUAAUGCAUGGGAACGUGCCCAGUUGCUGUGUAUAGCCCGGCGACAGCCGGAUUAAUACCGCAUAAGACCAUAGGGCGAAAGCGGGGGAGCGAAAGGCCUCGCGCCAUUGGAGGGUCCGAUGUGGGGUUAGCUAGUUGGUGGGGUAAAGGCUUACCAAGGCGACGAUCCGUAGCUGGUCUGAGAGGACGACCAGCCACACUGGAACUGAGACACGGCCCAGACUCCUACGGGAGGCAGCAGUGGGGAAUUUUGGACAAUGGGGGCAAGCCUGAUCCAGCCAUGCCGCGUGCGGGAAGAAGGCCUUCGGGUUGUAAACCGCUUUUGUUGGGGAAGAAAUCCUCUGGGCUAAUACCCCGGGGGGAUGACGGUACCGGAAGAAUAAGCACCGGCUAACUACGUG